GCAGCCAGAGGCGGGGGCCCCGGGCCUCGGGUCAGCGCGCGGCCGCGCGGGCAGCGUUCCGGCGGGAGCCGCGUCCGCCGGAGAGGCCGCUACCCUGCCUGUCUCUCGGGGCUGCUUCCCCUCUAAGCCCUUCGUGCUGCGCCCGCUGGGGCCUCGCGGGUGGAGGCUGGCCCCCGCACCGCGACCAGGCUGCUGGCGGCGCUUCGUGGGUUGCUGGCCUGGACGGCCGGGGGGCCAGGCUCUGAGGGAGCCGGGCGGGAGACGCUAAGGGAACUGAGGCAGGUUUCGCUCGCAGACCCCAGGGGUCGGGCGCUCCGCAGCCCAGGCAUGCGCACUGGUCCCUCUGCCCAGCUGGGGGCAUCCGCACCGCGGACAGCUCGGUCCUGAUGGUGAGGUACCAGGCUUUUCAUCCUGGGUCAGGGAUUCAUCGAAGUCAGUGAUUCCAGUGAAAGGCGGGGGGCGGGGGAGACAUGCUUUAUUUGAUAAGAAAAACUGGAGCAAGAUUAAGGUUUGGACUCCCUGGUCUAAGUGGUGCCCAUCUUCAUAAUCCACGGAUUUAGAGAUUCCAGGUACAAGUUGGCUGUGUGAUUUGGGGCAAAAUAUUUACUCCUUUAGCCAUGGUUUCUUCUGUUGGAUCAGGAUAAUAACCUUACCUACUUCAGGGUUGUGGGAAUUAAAUGAAACGAUAUAAGGAAGAAAAUACUUAGUAUUUUCUGUUAGGCUCUAGGUGCUUUCUCUGAGGGCAGCGACCAAGUCAUUGUUUUUCGGGAUGCUUAAUAGACAUCUUCGAAUGGUCAUUUGAUAAAAGGAUAGUUUUAAAGGUUUUUUUUUUUGAACUGUGUUAUUUUGACUUAGAAGAACUGAGGGGGCACUGCAAUUUUUUUGGAAGGCACCUCACACUUAGCCUGACAAUUAGCCCCUAUAAUCAUGCCACUGGAACAAGUUUUUAUUAGAAUAGAGCACUGCCUCAAAGUUUGACUGAAGUCCCCCCAGCUCAAUCAAGCAUUAGUCACAGAAUCUGAAAAAUACUUUUGUAAGCAUUUCUGUAGAAAUGUGAAAAACAUUGUCAAGACUCUGUGCUCCAAACACAGUGCCUUGUGUUUCUUUGUUGGUUUUGCAUAGAGCAAUCUGAUAACUGGAACAGAGAAACAUAACAUACUGCUUAAUCUGCCAGGGUCACUUUGGUUUGCUCAUUUGUAAAUUUGGGCAUGUUCCCUGCUUGAGGGAGGCCUUGAUUUGUGACUGAGGUUGUGGCUUUUUAUGCACAAAAGCAUAAAAUCCUCCCAGUGGUCCCACAAGAGCAGGUGGGGAAGUGAGGCAGGCCAAAUGAUGACCUUAGAAAAACACAUUUCCUUCUCCAGAAAGUGAUGCUUUUUGUCUGCAGUAUGAUGUGGGGGAAAAAAUCAAGACAAGCCUAGGAGCCUCUUCCUUGUUAUAGGACAAUCAUUCUUGAUUCUGAGGGCAAAGUAGAGCUAAAUCUGCUUCUGAAUAAAAAGAAUGUCUGGGAGAGGAGGGUUAAGAAAAGAGAAAAAAAGACAAGAAGAUAGAGAGAAAUCCUGGUUACCUUUUAUGAAUGUUACCCAUGGAAACAGAGGUGCCGGGAGGUGAUGGCUAGCCUGGAAUCUAUCAUUUUGGUGAUUUCCUAAGGUCUAGAUUUGGUCCUUGGCCUUAUGGGGUCAAAAUUUUCAUCUUUUCAAUGUUCCAGUGUUAAUUAAUAAUCAGCAUUAUAUGAAAUCAGAAUGCAAACUUAUUGAUUUUAUUGACCAUUUGCUAGACAUGUUAAGUGUGUUAUAUGCAUUGCCUCAUUUAAUUCUCUCCACAGCCAUGUGGUACCUUGUGGUCUUUUUUACAGUUGGGGAGUCGGAGGGGGGGGGGAGAUGAAGGAAAUCACUAGGGAAACACAGUUGGUAUGUAUGUAUGUGGUAGAGUCAGAGUUCAAAUAAAGGCCAUCUGAUCCAAAACCUGGAGCUUCACUGUUUCUUGUCAGAAGCCAUACUGUCCAGAACAUCGGACUCUAUAGAGUGGGCCUACUAAGUGACUCUCUUCUUGUAACUGUGCAGUGUGGACCCUCAUUGUCAGAAAGUGGUUUGGUGAGCAUAAAAUAGAAUCAGAAGGAUGAAUUAUCUGACGUAAAUGUUUAAUGAUAUCAGCUUUGAGUAGCCUUUGUCUUCUUCCACAACGAAAAUCUGGGAGGAUUGGGCACUCAGUCCUGCUGGUCUGGCCAGCCCUACCCCUUGGAAUGGUGCCUGGUCAAUACUUGUAUCUUUUUAUUAUAUUGCCUGGGCUGCUCCUUCUCAGAUGGACACAUUUCUUUUUUAGAUAGAAUAAGGCCUCACUAAGUAACAGUACUGUUAGACCUUGUAAGUCCUGGAGUCCUUAUUGCUUUUUAUGGAGGCAUUUUGUGUAUCUUGGCUCUGAUUGGCUUGAUUUAUAAUUUAACUUUGUAUCCCACUUCUUUGGGGAUAACUCACUUUCUUUUCUUUCUUACCGUCCCUGAAAUUCUAACUCUAGAAUAAAAUCUUGUGCAAUAGCCAUUUUCGCAACAAGCACUGAGGCCCGCAGUGCUCAUCAAUGAAGACCCAAAAAUCCAAGUCCAAGGCCAGCCCUCAAAAAUUUUAUCAUGGGCAGAGGGUGGGGUGAGAUAGGAGGAGAUCAUGUCAGACAUCUGGAGAACAACGUAAAUGGAAAGAAAUGGUUAGAAAACACCUAGUGUGUGAUUCACAUAAAAAGAAAAAAUAUUUAAAACCUGUUUUAGAUACAUCAUUCAUUCAACAAAUGUUUUCAACAAAUGUUUUCAACAAAUACAAAAUGCAGCCACUCUGCUAAUCAUGGGGAUUCAAUAAUGAAAACUGACACAGUCUCUGCCUUCAGGAAACACACUUGUAUGAGGUAGUCAGACAUUCAAAUAAUCAGUCAAAUAUAGAAUACUAUUCUAAAUGUUACAAAGGGCAUUUGAUUCUCAGAGAAGGAUUUGAAAUUUCCUGAGGGGUCAAAGAAGUCUUCCUUAAAGAAGAGUUGUUUGAACUAGGAGCUAAGGAGUGAAGAUUAGUUCACUGGGUACAGGGGAUGGGGUUGCAGAAGAGAUAAUUAGUGGAGGAGACAGCAUGUGCAAAGGUCCUGAGGCAGGAAAAACUUGGAGAAUUUGGGGAACUGAAGCAGGCUGGAUAUGAACCAUUUUCAAUCUGAUACCCAAAGGGUCAGUGAAGCUCAGAGAAAGAGAGAAAGGAGAACCCAAGUCCGUAGGAGGCUGGAAAAUAAGGCAAAAGCCGUAACAGCUAAGGUCUUGAAGGCCAUGCUAAGGACUUAGGUCUUUAUCCCAUGAGGACUGAUGUUGUUUAAGUAGGGGGUUAUAUCAUCUCACUUAUGUUUUAAAAAGACUGUUCUGUCUGCUGUGUGGUGAAUGGAUUGAAAUAUGCUCACCAAUUGGGAUCAAAAUGAGGGGAGUAAUGGUGGGAGAGAUGGAGAGAAAUGUACAGAUAUAAGAGAUAUUCGGGAGGUAAAAUAGUCAGGAACUUGGCAAUGGAUUGGGUCUUAGAGAUAAGGGAGAAAAAGAUGCAUGACUCCCAGGUUGCAUGAUUGAAUGAAUGAUUGUGGAAGCCAUAUAGGUGAUCAGAGGUCUCUUCAAGAGACCCUUCUACAAGGAACAAAGCUGACAGCCUCCAGCUGCUGCGCCUUCACAUCUACUGCAAUGUUCACACAAGGCCUCACACUGGCCGCUCUCAGUGAAUGAACAAGCACAGUCCAGGUACUAGAGCCAAGCCCUUUCAGCUCCAAGGUGGGGCUCCUUCAGCAGGAUAUUUCUAUUCUGGGGUUUCCUUUCAGUGUGCCCAUCACUUUCUCAGAACUGCUCUGCAUCUGAGGCUUUUCUUACCUAAUCCUCCUUCCUUCCCUCUCCCCUUUCAUAGAGGACAUACCUGUAUCAUGGUCUGAGUCUCUCUCUCUGCCUUUUCCUGCUCCCUCUCCUCUUUACAUUUCAUGAGCCUUUCCCCCACUAAACUCAAAUGUGUAAUUCCAUCUUGGUGUCGGCUCUAGGAGGACUCAGACUGACCCAGUGAUGGCCCACAUUGAACUGGAGAAUCUUGGACCAGAUUUUGGAGGGCUUUGAUUCUGCACAUGCUGGGUGAGGUGUCAGAAAAAUAUGACUUACCACUAGCAAAAAUAUCCCUUCACUUUCUUGAGGAGGAGGCAAAAGGCAAAACACAGAAAGGGGGUCAGUGUUUCCUUCAACUAAUCACAGACCUCAGACCGCCCAUACCCAUCUGUGAAGGAUGGAAGCUGAUGGUAGGUGAGGAUACUGAGUCUCAGAAAGGUUAAGUGAGUUGCCCGAACUUAUAGUACUACUAAGUGGAGAAGCCGACUUUUGGAUCUCAUGGACCGCACAUCUAUUCCAGGUGUGGACGCUUAGCCAAUAAGCUAUAAUGCCUCCCAGGAAAGGAUGUGCUUUGAGGUGACCCUUGAACAUGGGUAGAAUUGGGAUAAUCAGAGAUAAGGAAGGACAAUGUGGAGUUCCUGUCCUGGCUGGAGGAAACGAAUCUGACUAGUAUCCAUAAGGACACAGGUUCAAUCCCUGGCCUUGAUCAGAGGGUUAAGGAUACAGCAUUGCCAUGAGCUGUGGUGUAGGUCGCAGACACUGCUUGGAUCCCACGUUGCUUUGGCUAUGGGGUAGGCUGGAAGCUGCAGCUCUGAUUCGACACCUAGCUUGGGAACCUUCAUAUGCCAUGAGUUCAGCCCUAAAAAGCAGGGAAAAAAAAAAAAAGUUACAAUGUAUGUAUGAAGGCAGGAGUGUCUAAAAGAAAUAUAAAACUGGAAGUGUUCAUAUCAGGAGUUGAAAUACAUUUUUUUAAAAGUCUUUUUAGGGCCACAUCCUCGGCAUACAGAGGUUCCCAGGCUAGGGGUCUAAUUGGAGCUGUAGCCUCUGGCCUAUGCCACAACCACACCAACAACAGAUCCUCAACCCACUGAGCGAAGCCAGGGAUUGAACCUGCAACCUCAUGGUUCCUAGUAGGAUUCGUUUCUGCUGCACCACAACGGGAACUCCAGGAGUUGAAAUACAUUAAAAUAUGUGCACAUUUGGGAGAGGGUUGAAGGAGUUUUAAAAAAUACUGAAAAGUACAUAGAAGAAAAUAAUUCACCCUUGUUUUCAUCUUGCCUAUUUACAUUGUUUUGUUUUCAAAUUAAAACUACUUAAAAACUUAUACAUGCUCAUUAUAAGGAAUAUAAACAGUAUAGCAGGUACAACAAUAAAAGCUUUUAAAAGCUCCCCAAAUCCUAUCUAAAAAUUGUUACUACUAAUAUUAGGGAAAAUAUUAUUAGAUACAUUUUCUUUUUGAAUUUAUACAGGGAGGAGGAUGGAUGGACAGAUGGAAAAUGAUGUCUCAGUAUAGUUUUCAUUUGUAUUUUUAUUAGGGAGGUACAGAAUCUUCUCAUAUGUUUAAAAGUCAUCUGUACUUCAAUAUCUGUAUUAUUUAUAUUUCUUGCCCAAUUUUCUAUUGAGGUUGCUUAUCUCAUUUAUUUGUAGGAGGUCUUUUUAUACUAAGUAAUUUAGCUCUUUAUUAUAUGGGUUGGAAAUGAACUCAUUUAAUAAUUGGCCAGAUUUAAUUUUUAAAUUGUUUCUUUCAAAAAGGAUUUAUGGGUACCUUAUUGCUUGACUUUAAUAUUCAAGAAUGUUUAUUUCCAUUAUGUCUGAAAAUUUCUUUAAAAAAUUAAUUUUUGUGAUUAAAAUAUAUACAACAUUUA